CGGGGGCAGUAAUGCUCCAGUGGCGAACGGUCGCGUAACACGUAAGCAACCUGCCUUGAAGUGGGGGAUAACGUUCCGAAAGGGACGCUAAUACCGCAUGUGGUCCGUGGAUGGCAUCAUUCGCGGUCUAAAGAUUUAUCGCUUCAAGAUGGGCUUGCGGCCUAUCAGGUAGUUGGUGAGGUAAUGGCUCACCAAGCCGACGACGGGUAGCUGGUCUGAGAGGACGAUCAGCCGGAUUGGGACUGAGAUACGGCCCAGACUCCUACGGGGGGCAGCAAUUAGGAAUCUUGCACAAUGGGGGAAACCCUGAUGCAGCGACGCCGCGUGAGGGAUGACGCAUUUCGGUGUGUAAACCUCUUUUGACAGGGAAGAAGAAUGUGACGGUACCUGUCGAAUAAGCCCCGGCUAACUACGUGCCAGCAGCCGCGGUAAUACGUAGGGGGCGAGCGUUGUCCGAAUUUACUGGGCGUAAAGCGCGCGUAGGCGGCUAUUUAAGUCUGGGGUGAAAGGUUCGACGCUCAACGUGAACAGUGCCUUGGAUACUGGGUGGCUUGAGUCUGGGAGAGGGUAGCGGAAUUCCUGGUGUAGCGGUGAAAUGCGUAGAUAUCAGGAGGAACACCGGUGGCGAAGGCGGCUACCUGGCCUAAGACUGACGCUGAGGUGCGAAAGCGUGGGGAGCGAACGGGAUUAGAUACCCCGGUAGUCCACGCCGUAAACGAUGAGUGCUAGGUGUCGGGGGUAUCGACCCCCCCGGUGCCGUCGCUAACGCAUUAAGCACUCCGCCUGGGGAGUACGGCCGCAAGGUUG
rnacentral:rRNA from 1 species